rnacentral:rRNA from 1 species
AUGGCCGCUGCAUCGGGUUCCUCCUUUUGGAUCAAAUCUCGCCAACCACAGGCGAGCGACGUGCACAUGGCCUACUGCAUCGAUCCCAUCAUCAUGGGGGAUCGUCAGAAUUUCACCUUCCGUGACGAGACUCCAUCCUCUAGUUUCUGCCAUGGGCUCAGCGCCAAGUUCGGUUACAGCUACUUUGGAACUGCCAAUGGAUUGAUCGCUCUCCAGGUUUCAAAUCUCGUCACCAAAAGGUUUAGCGGCUGCGUCAUCUUCAACCCUGCUUUAAAGAUUGAUGUGAUGCUAGUCUUUAUGGAAUUCGAUUCCAGGCACAGGUUCUGUGGGUUCGGCUAUUGCAAAUCUGCCAAGAACUUCAAGAUCUUGAUGCUGCAGAACGGGUCUAUAAUGGUCAAGAGCCUCGGCGGUCACCCAAGCACCCAGCCACGGAGCAUCCUUCCCUCCGACAAUAUCGCAGAGCUUGAUCCUUCUAUUUGCCUAGACAACCUGGUCUACAUGUUGGAGGCUGGCGGGCACGACAACCGGAUCCGGCGGUUGAUAGUUUUCAACCUCCAGGAGGAGACGAGCAUCAAGGUGGACCUCCCCCCUGAGGCUCUCCACUCGGGGCUCAUGCAGCUGUCGGGUUCCAUCUGUGUCGCGUCGCGGGCCGACACCAACACCGAUGUUGUACUGUGGCAGCUGAAGCUUGAUCAAGGAUGGGAGAAGAUCUCUGUCGUUGCUGCUCCCUGCCAGGGAAGGGUCUUCGGGGCAUGGAGGUCACAUCCCACCAAGCUGAUGAUAUGGUUCGAGGGACGGGGAGCUGCGCUUUAUCAGAAUGCCAGGAGCAGCGGCGAGGGCGACCCACUGGCAUGGGAGCUGACAUACGAGGACCACAGGAGGGUAAUGGGAGAAGACCUUGGAGCAGUUCUUGGCACCUGGCAGAAGAAAGCCGGGCUAGUUUUCUGCUGGGGAUACGAGCCCACAUUGAUAUCCCCACUGGAGUUCUUCAAGAGCACCCGGGACGACCACCAGGAGCUUGUGUACUUCGUCAUUGGUGGUCGAGCCGUUGCUCCCCGGCUGGAGUUUCUUCGACGCUUAGCAGAGGCGCUAAGUGGAUGA